AUUGAACGCUGGCGGCAGGCCUAACACAUGCAAGUCGAACGGUAACAGGAAGAAGCUUGCUUCUUUGCUGACGAGUGGCGGACGGGUGAGUAAUGUCUGGGAAACUGCCUGAUGGAGGGGGAUAACUACUGGAAACGGUAGCUAAUACCGCAUAACGUCGCAAGACCAAAGAGGGGGACCUUCGGGCCUCUUGCCAUCGGAUGUGCCCAGAUGGGAUUAGCUAGUAGGUGGGGUAACGGCUCACCUAGGCGACGAUCCCUAGCUGGUCUGAGAGGAUGACCAGCCACACUGGAACUGAGACACGGUCCAGACUCCUACGGGAGGCAGCAGUGGGGAAUAUUGCACAAUGGGCGCAAGCCUGAUGCAGCCAUGCCGCGUGUAUGAUGAAGGCCUUCGGGUUGUAAAGUACUUUCAGCGGGGAGGAAGGGAGUAAAGUUAAUACCUUUGCUCAUUGACGUUACCCGCAGAAGAAGCACCGGCUAACUCCGUG
rnacentral:rRNA from 1 species